GACGAACGUUGGCGGCGUGCUUAACACAUGCAAGUCGAACGGAAAGGCCCUGCUUUUGUGGGGUGCUCGAGUGGCGAACGGGUGAGUAACACGUGAGUAACCUGCCCUUGACUUUGGGAUAACUUCAGGAAACUGGGGCUAAUACCGGAUAGGAGCUCCUGCUGCAUGGUGGGGGUCGGAAAGUUUCGGCGGUUGGGGAUGGACUCGCGGCUUAUCAGCUUGUUGGUGGGGUAGUGGCUUACCAAGGCUUUGACGGGUAGCCGGCCUGAGAGGGUGACCGGCCACAUUGGGACUGAGAUACGGCCCAGACUCCUACGGGAGGCAGCAGUGGGGAAUAUUGCACAAUGGGCGGAAGCCUGAUGCAGCAACGCCGCGUGCGGGAUGACGGCCUUCGGGUUGUAAACCGCUUUCGCCUGUGACGAAGCGUGAGUGACGGUAAUGGGUAAAGAAGCACCGGCUAACUACGUGCCAGCAGCCGCGGUGAUACGUAGGGUGCGAGCGUUGUCCGGAUUUAUUGGGCGUAAAGGGCUCGUAGGUGGUUGAUCGCGUCGGAAGUGUAAUCUUGGGGCUUAACCCUGAGCGUGCUUUCGAUACGGGUUGACUUGAGGAAGGUAGGGGAGAAUGGAAUUCCUGGUGGAGCGGUGGAAUGCGCAGAUAUCAGGAGGAACACCAGUGGCGAAGGCGGUUCUCUGGGCCUUUCCUGACGCUGAGGAGCGAAAGCGUGGGGAGCGAACAGGCUUAGAUACCCUGGUAGUCCACGCUGUAAACGGUGGGUACUAGGUGUGGGGUCCAUUCCACGGGUUCCGUGCCGUAGCUAACGCUUUAAGUACCCCGCCUGGGGAGUACGGCCGCAAGGCUAAAACUCAAAGGAAUUGACGGGGCCCCGCACAAGCGGCGGAGCAUGCGGAUUAAUUCGAUGCAACGCGUAGAACCUUACCUGGGUUUGACAUGGAUCGGGAGUGCUCAGAGAUGGGUGUGCCUCUUUUGGGGUCGGUUCACAGGUGGUGCAUGGCUGUCGUCAGCUCGUGUCGUGAGAUGUUGGGUUAAGUCCCGCAACGAGCGCAACCCUUGUUCACUGUUGCCAGCACGUUAUGGUGGGGACUCAGUGGAGACCGCCGGGGUCAACUCGGAGGAAGGUGGGGAUGACGUCAAGUCAUCAUGCCCCUUAUGUCCAGGGCUUCACGCAUGCUACAAUGGCUGGUACAGAGAGUGGCGAGCCUGUGAGGGUGAGCGAAUCUCGGAAAGCCGGUCUCAGUUCGGAUUGGGGUCUGCAACUCGACCUCAUGAAGUCGGAGUCGCUAGUAAUCGCAGAUCAGCAACGCUGCGGUGAAUACGUUCCCGGG
rnacentral:rRNA from 1 species